rnacentral:rRNA from 1 species
UAGGGAAUCUUCCGCAAUGGACGAAAGUCUGACGGAGCAACGCCGCGUGAGUGAAGAAGGAUUUCGGUUCGUAAAACUCUGUUGUUAGGGAAGAAAAAAUGUAUAGUAACUAUAUACAAAAGAGACGGUACCUAACCAGAAAGCCACGGCUAACUACGUGCCAGCAGCCGCGGUAAUACGUAGGUGGCAAGCGUUGUCCGGAAUUAUUGGGCGUAAAGCGCGCGCAGGUGGUUUAGAAAGUCUGAUGUGAAAGCCCACGGCUCAACCGUGGAGGGUCAUUGGAAACUAAUAAACUUGAGUGCAGGAGAGAAAAGUGGAAUUCCUGGUGUAGCGGUGAAAUGCGUAGAGAUUAGGAGGAACACCGGUGGCGAAAGCGGCUUUUUGGCCUGCAACUGACACUGAGGCGCGAAAGCGUGGGGAGCAAACAGG